AACGCUGGCGGCGUGCUUAAUACAUGCAAGUCGAACGAAGCGCUUACAGCCGAUCCCUUCGGGGUGAAGCAGUUUGUGACUUAGUGGCGGACGGGUGAGUAACGCGUGGGUAACCUGCCUCAUGCAGGGGGAUAACAGUUAGAAAUGACUGCUAAUACCGCAUAAGCGCACAGUACUGCAUGGUACAGUGUGAAAAGAUUUAUCGGCAUGAGAUGGACCCGCGUCUGAUUAGGUAGUUGGGUGAGGUAACGGCCCACCAAGCCGACGAUCGGUAGCCGACUUGAGAGAGUGAUCGGCCACAUUGGGACUGAGACACGGCCCAGACUCCUACGGGAGGCAGCAGUAGGGAAUAUUGCACAAUGGGGGAAACCCUGAUGCCAGCGACGCCGCGUGAGUGAAGAAGUAUUUCGGUACGUAAAGCUCUACCAGCAGGGAAGAUAAUGACGGUACCUGACUAAGAAGCCCCGGCUAACUACGUGCCAGCAGCAGC
rnacentral:rRNA from 1 species